rnacentral:rRNA from 1 species
GAUGAACGCUGGCGGCGUGCCUAAUACAUGCAAGUCGAGCGAAUGGAUUAAGAGCUUGCUCUUAUGAAGUUAGCGGCGGACGGGUGAGUAACACGUGGGUAACCUGCCCAUAAGACUGGGAUAACUCCGGGAAACCGGGGCUAAUACCGGAUAACAUUUUGAACCGCAUGGUUCGGAAUUGAAAGGCGGCUUCGGCUGUCACUUAUGGAUGGACCCGCGUCGCAUUAGCUAGUUGGUGAGGUAACGGCUCACCAAGGCAACGAUGCGUAGCCGACCUGAGAGGGUGAUAGGCCACACUGGGACUGAGACACGGACCAGACUCAUGCGGGAGGCAGAAGUUGGUAAUAUUCCGCAAUGGACGAAAGUCUGACGGAGCAACGCCGCGUGAGUGAUGAAGGCUUUCGGGUCGUAAAACUCUGUUGUUAGGGAAGAACAAGUGCUAGUUGAAUAAGCUGACACCUUGACGGUACCUAACCAGAAAGCCACGGCUAACUACGUGCCAGCCGCCGCCGUAA